rnacentral:rRNA from 1 species
GAUGAACGCUAGCUACAGGCUUAACACAUGCAAGUCGAGGGGCAGCAUUUUAGUUUGCUUGCAAACUGAAGAUGGCGACCGGCGCACGGGUGAGUAACACGUAUCCAACCUGCCGAUAACUCCGGAAUAGCCUUUCGAAAGAAAGAUUAAUACCGGAUAGCAUACGAAUAUCGCAUGAUAUUUUUAUUAAAGAAUUUCGGUUAUCGAUGGGGAUGCGUUCCAUUAGUUUGUUGGCGGGGUAACGGCCCACCAAGACUACGAUGGAUAGGGGUUCUGAGAGGAAGGUCCCCCACAUUGGAACUGAGACACGGUCCAAACUCCUACGGGAGGCAGCAGUGAGGAAUAUUGGUCAAUGGGCGAGAGCCUGAACCAGCCAAGUAGCGUGAAGGAUGAAGGCUCUAUGGGUCGUAAACUUCUUUUAUAUGGGAAUAAAGUUUUCCACGUGUGGAAUUUUGUAUGUACCAUAUGAAUAAGGAUCGGCUAACUCCGUGCCAGCAGCCGCGGUAAUACGGAGGAUCCGAGCGUUAUCCGGAUUUAUUGGGUUUAAAGGGAGCGUAGGUGGAUUGUUAAGUCAGUUGUGAAAGUUUGCGGCUCAACCGUAAAAUUGCAGUUGAAACUGGCAGUCUUGAGUACAGUAGAGGUGGGCGGAAUUCGUGGUGUAGCGGUGAAAUGCUUAGAUAUCACGAAGAACUCCGAUUGCGAAGGCAGCUCACUAGACUGUCACUGACACUGAUGCUCGAAAGUGUGGGUAUCAAACAGGAUUAGAUACCCUGGUAGUCCACACAGUAAACGAUGAAUACUCGCUGUUUGCGAUAUACAGUAAGCGGCCAAGCGAAAGCAUUAAGUAUUCCACCUGGGGAGUACGCCGGCAACGGUGAAACUCAAAGGAAUUGACGGGGGCCCGCACAAGCGGAGGAACAUGUGGUUUAAUUCGAUGAUACGCGAGGAACCUUACCCGGGCUUAAAUUGCAACAGAAUAUAUUGGAAACAGUAUAGCCGUAAGGCUGUUGUGAAGGUGCUGCAUGGUUGUCGUCAGCUCGUGCCGUGAGGUGUCGGCUUAAGUGCCAUAACGAGCGCAACCCUUAUCUUUAGUUACUAACAGGUUAUGCUGAGGACUCUAGAGAGACUGCCGUCGUAAGAUGUGAGGAAGGUGGGGAUGACGUCAAAUCAGCACGGCCCUUACGUCCGGGGCUACACACGUGUUACAAUGGGGGGUACAGAAGGCGGCUACCUGGUGACAGGAUGCUAAUCCCAAAAACCUCUCUCAGUUCGGAUCGAAGUCUGCAACCCGACUUCGUGAAGCUGGAUUCGCUAGUAAUCGCGCAUCAGCCAUGGCGCGGUGAAUACGUUCCCGGGCCUUGUACACACCGCCCGUCAAGCCAUGAAAGCCGGGGGUACCUGAAGUCCGUAACCGCAAGGAGCGUCCUAGGGUAAAACUGGU